rnacentral:rRNA from 1 species
GUAGGUGGCAAGCGUUGUCCGGAAUUAUUGGGCGUAAAGCGCGCGCAGGCGGUUCUUUAAGUCUGAUGUGAAAGCCCACGGCUCAACCGUGGAGGGUCAUUGGAAACUGGAGAACUUGAGUACAGAAGAGGAAAGCGGAAUUCCACGUGUAGCGGUGAAAUGCGUAGAGAUGUGGAGGAACACCAGUGGCGAAGGCGGCUUUCUGGUCUGUGACUGACGCUGAGGCGCGAAAGCGUGGGGGAGCAAACAGGAUUAGAUACCCUGGUAGUCCACGCCGUAAACGAUGAGUGCUAAGUGUUAGGGGGUUUCCGCCCCUUAGUGCUGCAGCUAACGCAUUAAGCACUCCGCCCUGGGAGUACGGCCGCAAGGCUG